rnacentral:rRNA from 1 species
UGUUAAUUUUUAUAUAUAAUAUCACGAUAUUUAUAUAAUAUUAACAUAAUUCAUAUUACUUUUUAGUAUAUGAAACUUUACUUUGAGAAAAUUAGAGUGCUUAAAGCAGGCUAUUGCCUUGAAUACUCCAGCAUGGAAUAAUAUUAAGGAUUUUUAUUCUUCUUAUUGGUUCUAGAAUAAAAAUGAUGAUUAAUAGGAACAGUUGGGGGCAUUUGUAUUUAACAGUCAGAGGUGAAAUUCUUAGAUUUGUUAAAGACAAACUACUGCGAAAGCAUUUGCCAAGGAUGUUUUCAUUAAUCAAGAACGAAAGUUAGGGGAUCGAAGACGAUCAGAUACCGUCGUAGUCUUAACCAUAAACUAUGCCAACUAGAGAUUGGAGGUUGUU